GGAGAGAUGGCAGAGUGGUCGAAUGCGGUAGUCUUGAAAACUAUUGAGGGUCACACCUCCGGGGGUUCGAAUCCCUCUCUCUCCGCAA
rnacentral:tRNA from 1 species